AAACGCUUGAAGUCAGUCGCGUUUGUUAGAACUCAGCUUGGCUUUUGCUUAGUGUACUUUCUAAUGAACGGGCCAACAUCGAUUUCAGUCAGUGGAUAAGGGUAGGGGGAAUGUGGCACCCUCGGGUGUGUUAUAGCCUCUUAUCGUAUACAUUUACUGGGAUCGAGGUCUGCAGCACUUGUGCUUAGGAUGUUGGCAUAAUGGCUUUAAUCGA
rnacentral:rRNA from 1 species